UUGUUCUUGCUGAGAGGGAUCAAUGCGUACUGCAAGACAUUGACCCAGAAGAGCUUCACGCAAAAUUGCAAGACCCUAGUUUUCUCGAAGAAGCUCAAUUGAUUGAUGUUCGGGAGCCUGAUGAAGUGGAGAAAGCUUCACUUCCAGGCUUCAAGGUGA